AUGUUUUGCUCCCGCACGGCUCCAAAGCGAACACUCCUUUUUUAUCUUGGCCAUCAAAUGAGCUCUGUUCCUUAUGCUCACUUGAUGCAUUUAUAUCUGAAACAUUCCAGUAGUGUUAUGUAUUUUGGUCAUCGUCUUUGUAUCAUCCUGCACCUGCAGCACGGAACAACCAUGCAAGUUGAAGAACAGAGCUCAUUUAUGUUUGCCAAGAUUCGGUGUGCCUACCCGUUUGGUAGCAACAUGUCAGUCUCGAUUAGAGACGUAACAAAAACUCAAUUCGAAGGUAUGGUGCAGAUGCAGUGCACCUGUGAAUUUGCUUCUGAAGCAUCAAGCGUGGGUGCUCUUCAAGAGCUCACAACUCGAGAUCCGCCGAUAUGCGGGCACAAAACGAACGCCGAAACGUGA
rnacentral:rRNA from 1 species